GGCAGGGGACGAGCCAAAGGCCCGCAAGGGAGAUCUGACCUCCCUUCCCUCAGACUCCUCCUCCCCCCUCGCCUCGGGGCCUUUGCACGACUUGCUUCUCCGACACCGCUCCUGCUUGAAUUGCUUGAAUUGCGGAGGCCCUUCCUUGAGAAGCACUUUCUGUGGACUCAGCAUAGAGUCCCUCACUCGUCAGGGCAGGCAUCCUUCUCCGCCCUGGCGCUUGUCAUAAAGUCUUCAGCGCUCGCGGCACGUGUGCGCCCGGGCCCUCCCCAGCCCCGCAGACGUGCGCGCGCAGCAGCCAGGCGGGCUCGGCCGCGUGGCGGGGGGCGCGCACGCGUGGCGGUGGAGCUCCGUCCGGGGCAGACCGGCCUCCGCGGACGCGCGGGGGACACGCCGGGGCCGGACGGACGUGCCUUCCUCCGCAGCCGUCUGCGGGCCCCGCCGACCGAGGCAGAUAAACGGAAGGCCCUCUGCGCCGCGAGAAGCGUCCCGCCGCUUCCAUCCCUGGACAGGAGACGGGCGGGCGGGGUGCCCCCCGGACCUCCGCUCGGGCCUGCGGGCGCCCCAGCCCCGGGAGAGGGGGGGCGGGACGAGGGCCCCGUGUGCCCUCCGCGCUCGCGGCGCCGCAGGCGGCCGCCCGGCAGGGCUCCCCGGGGCCCGAGAGGCCGAGCUGGAGCUGGGCCUCCCCGCCCGCUCCCCGGAUCCGGGCGGCCGCGGCCCUGGUGCGACCCAGGGCUUGACGGCGGGAUCGGGACUAAGUGCAUCAGCUUUCUGAACCUCACCAGGACCGAGAGGGAAGAGCCUGCGUUCCAGCUCAGAGAGGAACGUGCAGCGAGACGUGGAGCAGGAGCACCCCCUGCAGUCCAGCUCCCCUUGGACCUGGCUGACCUCGUUGCCCACCCCAAGUGCCAGCCCCAAAGCCCUCCUGCUGCUCCUGCUGCAGCGUUCCUGCCUCUGCUCACACUUCCCGCUGCCCGUCUCCAGCUCCCGGGACCCUGUCUGCUCUGCAAGGCCCAGGCCGUUCGGCUUCUCCGUGAAGUGCCCCAAGUCCGCUCUCCGUGCCUCUCGGCCACCGUGUCUUGCGCUGCCUCACCCACCCCACCCUCCUUUGCAUCCUGGACACUGAGCUCCCCUGUCCACAUCCUACAGCCCCGCAGGAGGCGGGCCGAGCCCACGAGCAGCACGACCCCGCCUGCCUGGUCACCGUGUGCUCCAGGGGUCCCAGACUUGCAAAGUACAUUCGUAAUGGGUAGUAAACUUCAAGCAGAAAUGUAA
rnacentral:lncRNA from 1 species